AGUCAUACGCUCGUCUCAAAGAUUAAGCCAUGCAUGUGUAAGUAUAAAUAAUUUUACUUUGAAACUGCGAAUGGCUCAUUAUAUCAGUUAUAGUUUAUUAGAAAUACUUUACUACUUGGAUAACCGUAGUAAUUCUAGGGCUAAUACAUGAGUAAAUCCUCAACUUCGGAAGAGGUGUGUUUAUUAGUAUGAAAACCAUAUAUCUUCGGAUAUAAUAGUGAGUAAUAAUAACCUUUCAUAUCGUAUGUCGUAAGAUAACGAUAGUUCUUUCAAGUUUCUGCCCUAUCAGCUUUCGAUGGUAGUAUAUGGGACUACCAUGGCAGUAACGGGUAACGAAGAAUUUGGGUUCGAUUUCGGAGAGGGAGCCUGAGAGAUGGCUACCACAUCCAAGGAAGGCAGCAGGCGCGUAAAUUACCCAAUCCUGACAUAGGGAGGUAGUGACAAUAAAUCACAAUGCGGAACUAUUUAGUUUUGCAAUUGGAUUGAGAACAAUGUACAAAUGUUAUCGAUAAACAAUUGGAGGGCAAGUCUGGUGCCAGCAGCCGCGGUAAUUCCAGCUCCAAUAGCGUAUAUUAACGUUGUUGCAGUUAAAAAGCUCGUAGUUGAAAUGUGGGAUGAAGUAUAUGAUGAAUUUUAUAUUCAAUUAUAUAUUGAUUCCCCUCUCCAAUUUAUUAUUAUGGGUAUUAAUUUAUUUGUAAUAAGAAUUGGUCAUUUACUGUGAGAAAAUUAGAGUGUUCAAAGCAGGCAUUUGCUUGAAUAGAUUAGCAUGGAAUAAUAAUAAAAGGCUUUUAUGGUCGAUUUAAUUGGUUUGUUCAUAAAAGCAAGAUUAAAAGGAACAGUUGGGGGUAUUCAUAUUCAAUAGUUAGAGGUGAAAUUCUCGGAUUUAUGGAA
rnacentral:rRNA from 1 species